GACGAACGCUGGCGGCGUGCCUAAUACAUGCAAGUAGAACGCACAGUUUAUACCGUAGCUUGCUACACCAUAGACGGUGAGUUGCGAACGGGUGAGUAACGCGUAGGUAACCUGCCUGGUAGCGGGGGAUAACUAUUGGAAACGAUAGCUAAUACCGCAUAAUAUUAAUUAUUGCAUGAUAAUUAAUUGAAAGGUGCAAUUGCACCACUACCAGAUGGACCUGCGUUGUAUUAGCUAGUAGGUGAGGUAACGGCGCACCUAGGCGACGAUACAUAGCCGACCGGAGAGGGUGGGCAGCCGGACUGGGAGGGAGACACGGCCCAGACGGCUACGGGAGGCAGCAGUAGGGAAUCGGCGGGAAGGGGCGGAAGUCUGACCGAGCAACGCCGAGGGAGGGAAGAAGGGUGUCGGAUCGGAAAGCUCGGUUGUAAGGGAAGAAAGGGUGUGAGAGUGGAAAGAACACAAUGUGACGGUAUCUGACCAGAAAGGGACGGCUAACUACGUG
rnacentral:rRNA from 1 species